GAUGAACGCUGGCGGCGUGCCUAAUACAUGCAAGUCGAGCGAACGGGCGAGAAGCUUGCUUCUCUGAUGUUAGCGGCGGACGGGUGAGUAACACGUGGAUAACCUACCUAUAAGACUGGGAUAACUUCGGGAAACCGGAUCUAAUACCGGAUAAUAUUUUGAACCGCAUGGUUCAAAAGUGAAAGACGGUCUUGCUGUCACUUAUAGAUGGAUCCGCGCUGCAUUAGCUAGUUGGUAAGGUAACGGCUUACCAAGGCAACGAUGCAUAGCCGACCUGAGAGGGUGAUCAGCCACACUGGAACUGAGACACGGUCCAGACUCCUACGGGAGGCAGCAGUAGGGAAUCUUCCGCAAUGGGCGCAAGCCUGACGGAGCAACGCCGCGUGAGUGAUGAAGGUCUUCGGAUCGUAAAACUCUGUUAUUAGGGAAGAACAUAUGUGUAAGUAACUGUGCACAUCUUGACGGUACCUAAUCAGAAAGCCCCGGCUAACUACGUG
rnacentral:rRNA from 1 species